rnacentral:rRNA from 1 species
AUGGAUCUGUUCCUGACAGCGACGUCCCUCGUCUCCGACGCGAACACUUGGUUUGAUUUCCUCGGCACGACCUUCUCCGCCGUCUCCGAGCUGCUAUCCGGGUGGAGGCAUAAGCAGGAGCGUCGGCAUGGCGAGGCGGAGCGGAGGCAGCUGCAGUGGAAGGAGGAGGACAUGAAGAUGAAGCAGCUCCACUACUGCUUGCUCGAUUUGCCAGAUCUGAUCAACCACGCCGAGUGGUUCAGCUACAUAAAAGACGACAAAGAGGUGGCCAAGCUCCUCCCGGAGCUCAGGGUCGAGUCAACGAUGCAUACGACCUGCUGGAAGAGUUCAGCUACCACCAUCAGCUUGGGCCAAGCACGGCGGCGGCGGCGGAGCAGCCGGGGGACGACUUUUUGA